rnacentral:rRNA from 1 species
AUGAUCGACAUGGUUGUCCGCUGUGUCCGUUGUCUCGCGCGCCGCUGGAGCCGGCGUCGAUUUGCCGUCGCUGUGCUCCGGCUCCGAGGCAGCGCCCUUCUUGGAAGAGGCGUGGCUGCUGCUGCUCUCCUGCGAUGCUGCCGCCGCGACCUCGUUGCUUGCGGCGGAGCUGCUCUGCUUCUCUGUUCCACCCGAAGCGCUGCUGGCCCUGGCGGCGAGAAUGUUGGAGAUGGUGGCGCGCAACGUCGGGUUGGGGACCAGAUCGCCCAUGCUCGCCUUGGCCCCGCACGCGCACUCGGAGUUGGUGCGACGAUGUGCGCUCGGAUGCACCGGGCGCAAAAGCUGUUGAAGCAGCACUUGCUCGCCACCACCGCGUCGGCCAUCACCUCCUUGCAAAUCCUGCAGUGGAGAUCCGCCGGGAAGCCGUCGUCGUUGCUCUCGUCGGCCGGCCUAGGAGGGGCAAGCGCAGGAGUCCUUCCGAAGUCGAAUCUGGAGUCGCCGUUUGUGGGGCAGUGCUGGAUGAAGUGGCCCGGGACACGGCACCUGUGGCACACGUACCCGGCCGGCGGCGCCCGCCCGUUGUGCGCUGCUCCACGGCCGUUGUCGAUCACCGCGCUGGUAGCUUUGGCCUGGUCGUCCUGGGUACCGGCGGACCUCGGGGCCGAAUUCGACGACGAACCACCGCUGUCUUGCCUCGAUCUAGGGCAUAGUGGGGGUGUGCCGGACGGACACAGCUCGAUGCUAUCUUCCGGAGGCACAGCCACUCGGCGCACCAUCACCGUCGAGUUGGGCAGGGCCAAGGCAUCGUCGUCCGCGUACUCGUCGCGGGUCUGCUCGUUGGAGAUCGUGAGGCUCUCCCUGGGACCCCGGCCGCGUGUCCGGCCGCGACCAUGGCGGCCUGUCUUCAUGAUAAGGCGCUUCAGCUCGCCGACGGUGAUGGAAGGCGCCGCGACGGGCAGGGAGAACGUUUCCAGGCAGUCCUUGUAUCGGUAG